GGGCGGUUUGGUUAAUCGGAGAAACCUUCGCGCUUCUAACGCGACAGAAUGCAGGUUCGAGUCCUGCACCGCUCG
rnacentral:tRNA from 1 species